GAUGAACGCUGGCGGCGUGCCUAAUACAUGCAAGUCGAGCGAAUGGAUUAAGAGCUUGCUCUUAUGAAGUUAGCGGCGGACGGGUGAGUAACACGUGGGUAACCUGCCCAUAAGACUGGGAUAACUCCGGGAAACCGGGGCUAAUACCGGAUAACAUUUUGAACCGCAUGGUUCGAAAUUGAAAGGCGGCUUCGGCUGUCACUUAUGGAUGGACCCGCGUCGCAUUAGCUAGUUGGUGAGGUAACGGCUCACCAAGGCAACGACGCGUAGCCGACCUGGGAGGGGGAUCGGCCACACUGGGGCUGAGACACGGCCCAGACUCCUACGGGAGGCAGCAGUAGGGAAUCUUCCGCAAUGGACGAAAGUCUGACGGAGCAACGCCGCGUGAGUGAUGAAGGCUUUCGGGUCGUAAAACUCUGUUGUUAGGGAAGAACAAGUGCUAGUUGAAUAAGCUGGCACCUUGACGGUACCUAACCAGAAAGCCACGGCUAACUACGUGCCAGCAGCCGCAGUAA
rnacentral:rRNA from 1 species